UGGUUCAGGAUUAACGCUGCGGCGUGCCUGACACAUGCAAGUCGAACGAGGCCGCAAGGCCUAGUGGCGGACGGGUGAGUAACACGUGACCAACCAACCCCGAAGUUGGGAAUAGCUCUGCGAAAGUAGAGGUAAUACCGAAUGUGGUCCAGGGCGGACAUCCGCUCUGGUCUAAAGAUUUAUCGCUUCGGGACGGGGUCGCGGCCUAUUAGCUUGUUGGUGGGGUAACGGCCCACCAAGGCGAUGAUGGGUAGCUGGUCUGAGGGGACGACCAGCCACACUGGGACUGAGACACGGCCCAGACUCCUACGGGAGGCAGCAGUGAGGAAUCUUCCGCAAUGGGCGAAAGCCUGACGGAGCAACGCCGCGUGUGGGAUGAAGACCUUAGGGUUGUAAACCACUGUCGGAGGGGACGAUCGUGACGGUACCCUCCAAGAAAGCCCCGGCUAACUACGUGCCAGCAGCCGCGGUAAUACUAGGGGGCGAGCGUUAUCCGGAUUUACUGGGCGUAAGCGCGUUAAGGCGGAUGGCCAUUGGCGGUGAAUUCGGGGCUCACCCCGAAACUGCC
rnacentral:rRNA from 1 species